rnacentral:rRNA from 1 species
GACGUAGGGCGCGAGCGUUGUCCGGAUUUAUUGGGCGUAAAGAGCUCGUAGGCGGCUUGUCGCGUCGACUGUGAAAACCCGCGGCUCAACUGUGGGCUUGCAGUCGAUACGGGCAGGCUGGAGUUCGGUAGGGGAGACUGGAAUUCCUGGUGUAGCGGUGAAAUGCGCAGAUAUCAGGAAGAACACCAACGGCGAAGGCAGCUCGCUAGGACGGUACUGACGCUGAGACGCGAAAGCGUGGGGAGCGAACAGG